rnacentral:rRNA from 1 species
CCUACGGGGGGCAGCAGUGAGGAAUAUUGGUCAAUGGGCGGAAGCCUGAACCAGCCAAGUCGCGUGAGGGAAGAAGGCCCUGCGGGUCGCAGACCUCUUUGGACGGGGAGCAAGGCCGCCGACGUGUCGGCGGAAGGAGAGUACCCGUAGAACAAGCAUCGGCUAACUCCGUGCCUGCAGCCGCGGUAAUACGGAGGAUGCGAGCGUUAUCCGGAUUCAUUGGGUUUAAAGGGUGCGCAGGCGGGCCUUUAAGCCGGCGGUGAAAU